GGUUAAGCGACUAAGCGUACACGGUGGAUGCCCUGGCAGUCAGAGGCGAUGAAGGACGUGCUAAUCUGCGAUAAGCGUCGGUAAGGUGAUAUGAACCGUUAUAACCGGCGAUUUCCGAAUGGGGAAACCCAGUGUGAUUCGUCACACUAUCAUUAACUGAAUCCAUAGGUUAAUGAGGCGAACCGGGGGAACUGAAACAUCUAAGUACCCCGAGGAAAAGAAAUCAACCGAGAUUCCCCCAGUAGCGGCGAGCGAACGGGGAGGAGCCCAGAGCCUGAAUCAGUGUGUGUGUUAGUGGAAGCGUCUGGAAAGGCGCGCGAUACAGGGUGACAGCCCCGUACACAAAAAUGCACAUGCUGUGAGCUCGAUGAGUAGGGCGGGACACGUGGUAUCCUGUCUGAAUAUGGGGGGACCAUCCUCCAAGGCUAAAUACUCCUGACUGACCGAUAGUGAACCAGUACCGUGAGGGAAAGGCGAAAAGAACCCCGGCGAGGGGAGUGAAAAAGAACCUGAAACCGUGUACGUACAAGCAGUGGGAGCCUCUUAAUGGGGUGACUGCGUACCUUUUGUAUAAUGGGUCAGCGACUUAUAUUCUGUAGCAAGGUUAACCGAAUAGGGGAGCCGAAGGGAAACCGAGUCUUAACUGGGCGUUAAGUUGCAGGGUAUAGACCCGAAACCCGGUGAUCUAGCCAUGGGCAGGUUGAAGGUUGGGUAACACUAACUGGAGGACCGAACCGACUAAUGUUGAAAAAUUAGCGGAUGACUUGUGGCUGGGGGUGAAAGGCCAAUCAAACCGGGAGAUAGCUGGUUCUCCCCGAAAGCUAUUUAGGUAGCGCCUCGUGAAUUCAUCUCCGGGGGUAGAGCACUGUUUCGGCAAGGGGGUCAUCCCGACUUACCAACCCGAUGCAAACUGCGAAUACCGGAGAAUGUUAUCACGGGAGACACACGGCGGGUGCUAACGUCCGUCGUGAAGAGGGAAACAACCCAGACCGCCAGCUAAGGUCCCAAAGUCAUGGUUAAGUGGGAAACGAUGUGGGAAGGCCCAGACAGCCAGGAUGUUGGCUUAGAAGCAGCCAUCAUUUAAAGAAAGCGUAAUAGCUCACUGGUCGAGUCGGCCUGCGCGGAAGAUGUAACGGGGCUAAACCAUGCACCGAAGCUGCGGCAGCGACACUAUGUGUUGUUGGGUAGGGGAGCGUUCUGUAAGCCUGUGAAGGUGUACUGUGAGGUAUGCUGGAGGUAUCAGAAGUGCGAAUGCUGACAUAAGUAACGAUAAAGCGGGUGAAAAGCCCGCUCGCCGGAAGACCAAGGGUUCCUGUCCAACGUUAAUCGGGGCAGGGUGAGUCGACCCCUAAGGCGAGGCCGAAAGGCGUAGUCGAUGGGAAACAGGUUAAUAUUCCUGUACUUGGUGUUACUGCGAAGGGGGGACGGAGAAGGCUAUGUUGGCCGGGCGACGGUUGUCCCGGUUUAAGCGUGUAGGCUGGUUUUCCAGGCAAAUCCGGAAAAUCAAGGCUGAGGCGUGAUGACGAGGCACUACGGUGCUGAAGCAACAAAUGCCCUGCUUCCAGGAAAAGCCUCUAAGCAUCAGGUAACAUCAAAUCGUACCCCAAACCGACACAGGUGGUCAGGUAGAGAAUACCAAGGCGCUUGAGAGAACUCGGGUGAAGGAACUAGGCAAAAUGGUGCCGUAACUUCGGGAGAAGGCACGCUGAUAUGUAGGUGAAGCGACUUGCUCGUGGAGCUGAAAUCAGUCGAAGAUACCAGCUGGCUGCAACUGUUUAUUAAAAACACAGCACUGUGCAAACACGAAAGUGGACGUAUACGGUGUGACGCCUGCCCGGUGCCGGAAGGUUAAUUGAUGGGGUUAGCGGUAACGCGAAGCUCUUGAUCGAAGCCCCGGUAAACGGCGGCCGUAACUAUAACGGUCCUAAGGUAGCGAAAUUCCUUGUCGGGUAAGUUCCGACCUGCACGAAUGGCGUAAUGAUGGCCAGGCUGUCUCCACCCGAGACUCAGUGAAAUUGAACUCGCUGUGAAGAUGCAGUGUACCCGCGGCAAGACGGAAAGACCCCGUGAACCUUUACUAUAGCUUGACACUGAACAUUGAGCCUUGAUGUGUAGGAUAGGUGGGAGGCUUUGAAGUGUGGACGCCAGUCUGCAUGGAGCCGGCCUUGAAAUACCACCCUUUAAUGUUUGAUGUUCUAACGUUGGCCCCUGACCGGGGUUGCGGACAGUGUCUGGUGGGUAGUUUGACUGGGGCGGUCUCCUCCUAAAGAGUAACGGAGGAGCACGAAGGUUGGCUAAUCCUGGUCGGACAUCAGGAGGUUAGUGCAAUGGCAUAAGCCAGCUUGACUGCGAGCGUGACGGCGCGAGCAGGUGCGAAAGCAGGUCAUAGUGAUCCGGUGGUUCUGAAUGGAAGGGCCAUCGCUCAACGGAUAAAAGGUACUCCGGGGAUAACAGGCUGAUACCGCCCAAGAGUUCAUAUCGACGGCGGUGUUUGGCACCUCGAUGUCGGCUCAUCACAUCCUGGGGCUGAAGUAGGUCCCAAGGGUAUGGCUGUUCGCCAUUUAAAGUGGUACGCGAGCUGGGUUUAGAACGUCGUGAGACAGUUCGGUCCCUAUCUGCCGUGGGCGCUGGAGAACUGAGGGGGGCUGCUCCUAGUACGAGAGGACCGGAGUGGACGCAUCACUGGUGUUCGGGUUGUCAUGCCAAUGGCACUGCCCGGUAGCUAAAUGCGGAAGAGAUAAGUGCUGAAAGCAUCUAAGCACGAAACUUGCCCCGAGAUGAGUUCUCCCUGACUCCUUGAGAGUCCUGAAGGAACGUUGAAGACGACGACGUUGAUAGGCCGGGUGUGUAAGCGCAGCGAUGCGUUGAGCUAACCGGUACUAAUGAACCGUGAGGCUUAACCUU
rnacentral:rRNA from 1 species